UACAGAGGUCUCAAGCGUUGUUCGGAUUCAUUGGGCGUAAAGGGUGCGUAGGCGGCGCGGUAAGUCGGGUGUGAAAUCUUGGAGCUUAACUCCGAAACUGCAUUCGAUACUGCCGUGCUUGAGGACUGGAGAGGAGACUGGAAUUUACGGUGUAGCGGUGAAAUGCGUAGAUAUCGUAAGGAAGACCAGUGGCGAAGGCGGGUCUCUGGACAGUUCC
rnacentral:rRNA from 1 species